UUUAGAUUCAUUGAAUAAUCAAUAUAUAUGAUCUAUUACAUAAUUCAUAUAUAUUGAUUAUUCAAUAAAUAUAAUAAUAUUUUUUUUAUAAAUAGAACCUGAUAUAUAUUAGAAUCAUUUCAACUUUACACACUUGCUCAAACAGAAUCCUCACUUCAAUUUUAAGUGAAACCUCGUUUUUGGUUUUGAUGGCUUUGAUUUCAGCAAUCUUGAAUUUCUUUGGGAUCUCUUCAAGUUUAUCAUCUCAAGAUUAUGAUUAUAAAGAGAAAUUAUCUGAGUCAUAUUGUUCAUGUUCAGAUAAACCACAUAGUAUGGAAAAAUCAAAAGGAGCUUCAAUUGUAGUUCAUUAUUUUCCUGUUAACAAUUCUCCCUCACGCUUGUAGACAAGCCAGCAGUAAUAAUAAUAUUAUUAUUCUUCUUCGUC
rnacentral:lncRNA from 1 species